rnacentral:rRNA from 1 species
AGUGAACGCUGGCGGUAGGCCUAACACAUGCAAGUCGAACGGCAGCACAGUAAGAGCUUGUUCUUACGGGUGGCGAGUGGCGGACGGGUGAGGAAUACAUCGGAAUCUACUUUUUCGUGGGGGAUAACGUAGGGAAACUUACGCUAAUACCGCAUACGACCUACGGGUGAAAGCAGGGGAUCUUCGGACCUUGCGCGAUUGAAUGAGCCGAUGUCGGAUUAGCUAGUUGGCGGGGUAAAGGCCCACCAAGGCGACGAUCCGUAGCUGGUCUGAGAGGAUGAUCAGCCACACUGGAACUGAGACACGGUCCAGACUCCUACGGGAGGCAGCAGUGGGGAAUAUUGGACAAUGGGCGCAAGCCUGAUCCAGCCAUACCGCGUGGGUGAAGAAGGCCUUCGGGUUGUAAAGCCCUUUUGUUGGGAAAGAAAAGCAGCAGGUUAAUACCCCGCUGUUCCGACGGUACCCAAAGAAUAAGCACCGGCUAACUUCGUG